AAAGGGCUGUAACCACUAAAGGC
rnacentral:piRNA from 1 species